AUGGAGGUCACCUUUGUGCUCGCGUCUCCGCCCCGACGCCAGCGCCAGAGCCACGAGGUGGUGGUGCGUUCGCGGACGAUGGAGCACGAGCGCUUCGUCCUCAAGCACCACGCUGUGCUCAUAACGGCCACUGACAGCUACAACGCCGCCAACCCCAUGCUGGUGGGCUAUGCCGUUGAGGCCCUGCUGCGCAUCGGCCCCCACCUGCUGCGUGUCACACGCCACCACCCUGAAGAAUUCUUAGUCCACUUCAACGUUCCGGCUGAUCGAGACGCCCUGCUCCGCCACAAGGCCAUCAGCAUCGAUGGGGUGCUCUUUCGGGCCAAACCCUGGUGCCCGGAUGAGCACGCAGUUCGCCAGAAAUGGUUGUUGCAUGUCUGCAUCGUCAUCAAGCGGCUGCCCCUGGACAUGUGGACGCUGGAGGGGGCAAGGGGGGUCCUCGGCAAGUUCUGCAUCAUCGACAGACUCGACAGCCACACCGCCGAGCGCCGGGACACGCGCACCUUCGCCUGCUGGGCCUGGGUGUGGAGCCUCACCGACAUCCCCACUCAGCACUGCCUCUCAAGCUUCGCGGAGGGGGCUAGCCAGGUGACGGAGAUGCAGGGCUACUCUCCGCCGCUCCAUGCCAACCGCGCCAUGCCAGAGCCGCCUGAAUGGGAGAGGAGCUCCCUGCUCUUCCACCUUGACCACGUGGAGGACUGGUCCCCGCGCGAGCAGCGCUCCCCAGGCUAUGGCGUCAGCGGGCUGCCAUCCUCGGGCUCGGACAACGAUGACCGCCGCCCGCUCCCGGAUGUUUCCACGCCAGACUGGACCUUCAACGUGGAGGACAGUCGCCCCUUCUAA
rnacentral:rRNA from 1 species